AGUACACGUGACUAACCUACCCUUGAGUGGGGGAUAACCUAGGAAACCUGGGCUAAUACCGCAUAAUACCUUCGGGUCAAAGGAGCAAUUCGCUUAAGAGGGGGUCGCGGCCGAUUAGUUAGUUGGCGGGGUAAUGGCCCACCAAGACUGUGAUCGGUAUCCGGCCUGAGAGGGCGCACGGACACACUGGAACUGAAACACGGUCCAGACUCCUACGGGAGGCAGCAGUGGGGAAUUUUGCGCAAUGGGGGAAACCCUGACGCAGCAACGCCGCGUUGGAGGAUGAAGUCCCUUUGGGACGUAAACUCCUUUCGAUCGGGACGAUAAUGACGGUACCGGAAGAAGAAGCCCCGGCUAACUUCGUGCCAGCAGCCGCGGUAAUACGAGGGGGGCGAGCGUUGUUCGGAAUUAUUGGGCGUAAAGGGUGCGUAGCGGUUUGGUAAGUCUUGUGUGAAAUCUUCGGGCUCAACUCGAAGUCUGCAUGAGAAACUGCCGGGCUUGAGUAUGGGAGAG
rnacentral:rRNA from 1 species